rnacentral:tRNA from 1 species
AUCUAAAUAGCUUAUAAAGAGUAUAAUAUUGAAGAUAUUAGGGAAAUAAAUUAUUUUUAGAUA